rnacentral:rRNA from 1 species
UACGUAGGGGGCUAGCGUUGUCCGGAAUCAUUGGGCGUAAAGAGCGUGUAGGCGGCCCGGUAAGUCCGCUGUAAAAGUCAAAGGCUCAACCUUUGAAUGUCAGUGGAUACUGCCGGGCUAGAGUCCGGAAGAGGCGAGUGGAACUCCUGGUGUAGCGGUGGAAUGCGCAGAUAUCAGGAAGAACACCACGGCGAAGGCAGCUCGCUAGGACGGUACUGACGCUGAGACGCGAAAGCGUGGGGAGCGAACAGG